rnacentral:rRNA from 1 species
GGCUUCGGUCUACUAGUAAAGUGGCGGACGGGUGCGUAACACGUGGGUAAUCUACCUUCCGGCGGGGGACAACAGUCCGAAAGGAUUGCUAAUACCGCAUACGUCAGCGGCGCCUACGGGCGCUGUUGGGAAAGAUGGCCUCUCCUUGGAAGCUGUCACCGGAAGAUGAGCCCGCGUCCCAUCAGCUAGUUGGUGAGGUAACGGCUCACCAAGGCUUAGACGGGUAGCUGGUCUGAGAGGAUGAUCAGCCACACUGGGACUGCGACACGGCCCAGACUCCUACGGGAGGCAGCAGUGGGGAAUAUUGGGCAAUGGGCGGAAGCCUGACCCAGCCACGCCGCGUGAGUGAUGAAGGCCUUCGGGUCGUAAAGCUCUGUGGGGAGGGACGAAUAAGCUCGGUGUUAAUAACACCGGGCCCUGACGGUACCUCCUUAGCAAGCACCGGCUAACCCUGUGCCAGCAGCCGCGGUAAUACAGGGGGUGCAAACGUUGCUCGGAAUCAUUGGGCGUAAAGCGCACGUAGGCGGUUCGUUAUGUCGGAUGUGAAAGCCCUUGGCUUAACCGAGGAAGUGCAUCCGAAACUGGCGAGCUAGAGUACUAAAGAGGAUCGCGGAAUUCCCGGUGUAGAGGUGAAAUUCGUAGAUAUCGGGAGGAACACCGGUGGCGAAGGCGGCGAUCUGGGUAGAUACUGACGCUGAGGUGCGAAAGCGUGGGGAGCAAACAGGAUUAGAUACCCUGGUAGUCCACGCCGUAAACGAUGAGUGCUAGAUGUUUCUGGUAUUGACCCCGGAGGCGUCGUAGCUAACGCGUUAAGCACUCCGCCU